rnacentral:misc_RNA from 1 species
GAUGAAGAACGCAGCGAAAUGCGAUAACUAAUGUGAAUUGCAGAAUUCCGUGAAUCAUCGAGUCUUUGAACGCACAUUGCGCCCCCUGGUAUUCCGGGGGGCAUGCCUGUCCGAGCGUCAUUGCUGCCCAUCAAGCACGGCUUGUGUGUUGGGUCCCGUCCCCCUCUCCCGGGGGACGGACCCGAAAGGCAGCGGCGGCACCGCGUCCGGUCCUCGAGCGUAUGGGGCUUUGUCACCCGCUCUCGUAGGCCCGGCCGGCGCUUGCCGACACCCAACCAUUUUUUUCAGGUUGACCUCGGAUCAGGUAGGGAUACCCGCUGAACUUAAGCAUAUCAAUAAGCGGAGGA